UACGUAGGGUCCGAGCGUUGUCCGGAAUUAUUGGGCGUAAAGGGCUCGUAGGCGGUUCGUCGCGUCGGGAGUGAAAACUCGGAGCUCAACUCCGAGCCUGCUUCCGAUACGGGCAGACUAGAGGUAGGCAGGGGAGAGCGGAACUCCUGGUGUAGCGGUGGAAUGCGCAGAUAUCAGGAAGAACACCGGUGGCGAAGGCGGCUCUCUGGGCCUUACCUGACGCUGAGGAGCGAAAGCCAGGGGAGCAAACGGG
rnacentral:rRNA from 1 species